GAGAGAGUAGACGGUUCCACAAGCGCGGCUUCAGCGCCGCCUGGCGCUCGGAGGCUGCACAAGCCUCAGGGCUGCCGGAAGGAGCCACGGAAACGGAAGUGGUUCCAGAGGUCGUGAUGACGCCGACGGGAAUGGGAACGCCAGAGUUUGGCACUGAGGCGUGGACAAGGACGCUGUGGAGUUGUGGGUACUUCCGAGGUAUGGAAGAGGAUUGACUUUAGAAGCCUGUUUUGCUUACCUUCAGACAAACUCCUGAUGAAAACAAUUCUGUUUAUGCAGUUCUAAUGGUGCAGAUACUAAGGCUCAAAGAAUUCAAGUGACUUCUCCAAGGUUGCACAACUAGUUAAUGGCAGAGCUGAGAAUCAGGCUUCCGCAUUCAGCUAUGAAUUUCCAACAGUUCAUAGUAAUAACAUAUUUACAUUAAAUGUUCUUUUGUUUUAA